rnacentral:rRNA from 1 species
CCCCGCCUACGGGACGCAGCAGUAGGGAAUAUUGCUCAAUGGGGGAAACCCUGAAGCAGCAACGCCGCGUGGAGGAUGAAGGUUUUCGGAUUGUAAACUCCUUUUGUUAGAGAAGAUAAUGACGGUAUCUAACGAAUAAGCACCGGCUAACUCCGUGCCAGCAGCCGCGGUAAUACGGAGGGUGCAAGCGUUACUCGGAAUCACUGGGCGUAACGAGCGCGUAGGCGGGAUAGCAAGUCAGAUGUGAAAUCCUAUGGCUUAACCUUAGAACAGCAUUUGAAACUGUUAUUCUAGAGUAUGG